ensembl:lncRNA
CACACGUCCACUUGUAACCAGCCAAUGGUACGAGGGAUCCGGGACGGACCCGUGGACGUGUCUGGGCGCUCCUCCCUGGCGUUGCAUCAUACAUCGGUUCCUGCAAACACCCUGACACAGUGUCACAUGGCGCGCGUGUCUCUCCCACGCAGCCGCGAUGGGAAGCAGAGCUCAGGCUGCUCUGGGAUCAGAUGCUCGACGCGCACAGCUACACAUGCAGGCAACAACGGUACUGUCUGGUGAGACAGAGAGGGAGAGACAGAGAGAGAGACAGAGAGAGACAGAGAGGGAGAGACAGAGAGGGAGAGACAGACAGAGAGAGACAGAGAGGGAGAGACGGUGGAGCAAUGGGAAGUGCAAACCAGGACACACACAGCCUCUGUCACUUUGAAUGAACAUUGUGCACAGUCGGCUUGUCUCUCCUCCCCCCUCUCUCUCUCCCUCCCUCUCUCUCUGUCUACCCCUCCUCCACUCGUCUCCUGCUUCCCCUCCUUCGCUAUCUCCUCCUUCUGCUCCCUCGUCGCUGCCUUCAAACAUGUUCAAACACCAAGACGGACUAACAUUUCCAUAUUGAUUGGGUCGCUGUGUGUGCGUGUGCAGACUGGUCCUGCUGUGGUCAACGAGGUCAACAUGGUGGCCACACAGACCCCCCCAUGUUCCACAGCGCCCUGCUCAGGGUGCACACAGCCUCCUUCAUGCACUCAGCUGAUGACGGCUGACACUGAGCGAAGGCCUGCGGUUAAACCCUCAGAUGGAAG